rnacentral:rRNA from 1 species
UGAGGAAUCUUCCGCAAUGGGCGAAAGCCUGACGGAGCGACACCGCGUGGAGGACGAAGCGUUUGUUCGUGUAAACUCCUUUUUUCAGGGAAGAUAAUGACGGUACCUGAAGAAUAAGAAGCAGCAAACUACGUGCCAGCAGCUGCGGUAAUACGUAGGCUUCAAGCGUUAUCCGGAAUUACUGGGUGUAAAGCGUCUGUAGGCGGCAAGGUAAGUUUGGCAUGAAAGACCGGGGCUCAACCUCGUGUUUGUGUCGAAAACUGCUUAGCUAGAAUCUGGGAGAGGGAAGCAGAAUGGUGUGAGUAGGGGUGCAAUCCGUUGAUACACACUAGAAUACCAAAAGCGAAGGCAGCUUCCUGGAACAGUAUUGACGCUCAGAGACGAAAGCGUGGGGAGCGAA